rnacentral:tRNA from 1 species
GGGGGCAUAGCUCAGUCUGGUAGAGCACCGCCCUUUUAAGGCGGGUGUCGAUGGUUCGAAUCCAUCUGCCCUCA